UACGUAGGGGGCAAGCGUUGUCCGGAAUCAUUGGGCGUAAAGCGCGUGUAGGCGGCUCGGUAAGUCCGCUCUGAAAGUCCAGGGCUCAACCCUGGGAUGCGGGUGGAUACUGUCGAGCUCGAGUCCGGAAGAGGCGAGUGGAAUUCCUGGUGUAGCGGUGAAAUGCGCAGAUAUCAGGAGGAACACCAAUGGCGAAGGCAGCUCGCUGGGACGUGACUGACGCUGAGACGCGAAAGCGUGGGGAGCAAACAGG
rnacentral:rRNA from 1 species